ensembl:lncRNA
UUUUUUUUUUUUUUUUUUUUUUUUUUUGGCAGGAAAGAAAAAAGACAGAAGGAUGAAGUUGUAUGGGGUACAGUUGUAAAUGAAAAGCACUAGCUGUGCCAUCAGAGUCUUUGUUAUGCUGCUGUUUCACAUAAGAGUUGCAGGCUAUGAAGCCAGAGUGAAAACUGAAGAUCAUUAAGUGGGAAAAAGCAUUCAUGUUGCCUGGGGCCGUCUCCUGGUAUACAGCAAACCUAGCCUUCACUUGGCUUAUACUUGCUGACACUAGUGUUUAGAGAAAGCAACAGGCUCCCUGCAAAGAGUCUCCAGGUGAACAUCUUUCACCAAAAGAGUUACUGAUUUUGGAACAUGAGUCCAACAAUAUUUUGAUUAAAACUUGAUUUGUUGGGCUCAAAAUAGCACCCAGUUGGAAAAGAACUUGUUUUAAGAUUCCAUCAUAAGACCUGGCUCACAGUGUCAUUUCCAGCAUAGAGGUCUGCUAAAAGUUUAACUCAGUGAGUUGAUUAGUGCUCCAACAAAUUAAGAUCAUCUCGGGUAUAUCAUCAUCGUGGAGCAUUUCCCUUUAUUACAGACCAAAACAUUUCAACAGAAGGAAAAUAUUCUUGUGUCUAUUUAAAAACUUCUGAAUAUUUCAGGCAUGUCUAUAAUACAGUCCUAAGGACACAGUGAAGACACAGUAAGUACUGUUGAUUUCAACUUUUAAAACAAUGGAAUAGAAAAUGUGGUAGAUUUCCAGGUUCACUGAAGUUAAUGGGAACAUUUCCUUAAGUUUUAAGGUAUGCAUGUUCUCACAGUCUUUAAAAAAAAAGAAAAGAUCUCUCCUUCAGCUGCCCAGAGUUUGAAACCCAUAUGCUUCUGGGAAUGCACCUUAUUGCAAGGUGCAGUCUACCUCAUGCUUCUAUAUUGUGCCCAUAGGACAAAGAACUGAAAACAUUAUCUGUUGGCAGAGACAAAUUACUCAACAUCUCGGCUGCUUCCAACCCAUGACAUCUGAAAUACACUUGUAAACAUUUGAGAACAAAUGGCAAUUUUCUAAGCAUCUUCAUUCUAUCCUUAAACUUCCACUCAAUUUCUCAAAAAAUAAGCUUUGUCAGAAGCAGGCUGCAUAUGGAUAUAUCCAGCUUCUGCUCUCAUUCCAGCUUCACAUGAAGAACACUUCCUUGAAUCAUCACUGGUAUGAUCUACUUGGGAGCUUUUCUAAAUCACCAACAAGAGCAAACAUCUUUCCCCCAGAAGUGCCUACUUCCCUUGUAUUAUAGAGAAGCCAUUCUCACAAAUUCAAAUUUCUUUUUUUUUUUUAUUCUUAUGGAAAGAAGCACUUCCAUUGUUAAAAUAUGCUUAACCUAGCCCAUCUCUCCACCUUCUUCUCACUGCAUCUAGUUUAAGCUUUCCAAAGUGGAUCUUGUGAUGUUUAGCAUAGGAUCCAUUUUGUUUGCUUGUUUCAACAGGUAGAAGUUAGAGUGCUGAUUCUUGCUGGACAUUACUCUAAAACUGAAAACAACAUCUUAGAAACACGAACUCAUUGUACCAGCUACAGCAAGAACUGUUUAACACUACUGUGGAUAAUUGCUUCUCACUAUCACAUGUGCAAACAGUACAAAUUCAUUGUAAGAAGCUAAGCAUUUCAGGAAACAGUGUUUUAUCUGUAAAUAAUGAUGAAAAAAUAUAAUAAAAUCAGUCAUGCUCAAUCUAAUACAUUUUAUAUUAUGGCUGUUCUGCUACUUUGCUCAUGACUUGUUCCUCCCUUGAUCUUUGACUUGCUAUGGUGGUAUCACAUACAUGACAGAGUUUAUGUGGACCUUGGUACUACCAUGCUUUAUUUUCCAGAUGUGGUGCUACCACAACAUAACGCAGAUCAGAUUUUUGGCCUGUUACACAGCUGUGAGCAGUCUAGAAAUGAUGCUGUGUUGAAUGAUCUAUAUGAAGCAUCACAACUUUGCAUCUCGUGUAUUCAAAGGCUUUCAUUAAGGAAAAAUAAUAGCAGACAGUAGCCAAUUCUAAACUGGAUCGACAGUCACCUUCAAAGACAAUAUUUUGUAAAGGUGCUGUACUUGUCUCAAGAGGGGAGAAAACAAAUCUGUUCCUAGCACUCAAGAGCUUUCUUUAGUACCUGAUCUAUUUAAAUAAACAGAUAGAAACUUUAUCAUAUGACUUUCAUUUCUUAUAUAUUUAUUUCAUGUUUUGUUAGUGAAUCAAAAUUCAGAUUGGUUAAUUCAGAGGACACAAUCAAUUUAAAUUCCAUUUUCCAGAACCUCUUUCUCAUAAAUAAGGAUCAAGAAAAAAUGAGCAAUGUAUUUCCUUCAAUUCCUUGUUGUUAUGCUACAUUUGCUACAUAUGCUACAGUUAACUUCACAUCAACUCUUCUCCUGUAUAUUCCCUUAUCCAGGGAACAGUCAUACUGUUUACUGCAAGCAAUUUACUAUCUGAGUUCCUAAAAGAAAUUAAGGAACUGGUGUGUUGCUAUUGACAUAUUGAGAAAAGUCCCCAGGAGGAUUUCUUCUCAUUGUAAAUGGCAGGAUUUCAGCUCCUUCAUCUUUCACCCAGUAGAGUGAUGAAAGCUCAUUUCAUUGGACAAGUGAUAAAAAUUCUACAAAGAUAUUUUUUCUACCCCGUUCUUUCUUAAAUAUAAAAAUUAACACUGUCCCUUUGCAGAUUUGUCGGCAGGUAUCCUAUUAUUGUCCCAUUAUAUGCUUGUUCUGUUUCACUAAAAAUUUGAUUUCUUAGUUUCUUUAAGUAAGGUCACUAUCAGAAAGAUCAAAAAAUAACAUCUGGUGCUCUUGCAUAAGAUAUCUGGGUGUAAAUGUCUGAUGGUUUCAUCUUCGCUCACUGAAAAUUCCACUUGAGUGAAAAACAAUCAAUAGUGGGAAGUAUUAAGAGUUUCCUUAAGGAAAUAAUUCUAACAGAAUUAAUUUGUAUUUAUAAGACAUUAUGUUUCUCAGAAUUCCUUCAGUUUUGGCCUGUUCUGGUGGGGGGGGAAAAAAAAAAAAAAAAAAAAAAAGAUAAA